rnacentral:rRNA from 1 species
GAUGAACGCUGGCGGCGUGCCUAAUACAUGCAAGUCGAGCGAACGGACGAGAAGCUUGCUUCUCUGAUGUUAGCGGCGGACGGGUGAGUAACACGUGGAUAACCUACCUAUAAGACUGGGAUAACUUCGGGAAACCGGAGCUAAUACCGGAUAAUAUUUUGAACCGCAUGGUUCAAAAGUGAAAGACGGUCUUGCUGUCACUUAUAGAUGGAUCCGCGCUGCAUUAGCUAGUUGGUAAGGUAACGGCUUACCAAGGCAACGAUGCAUAGCCGACCUGAGAGGGUCGACCGGCAGCCCGGAACUGAGAAACGGUCCCGACUUCUACAGGGAGCCACAGUAGGGAAUCUUCCGCGAUGGGCGAAAGGCUGACGUAGCAAAGCCGGGGGAAUGAUGAAGGUCUUCGGAUCCGAAAACUCUGUUAUUAGGGAAAAACAAAAAUGUUAGUAACUGUGCACAUCUUGACGGUACCUAAACAAGAAGCCACGGCUAACUUCGUG